AGUGAACGCUGGCGGUAGGCCUAACACAUGCAAGUCGAACGGCAGCACAGUAAGAGCUUGCUCUUACGGGUGGCGAGUGGCGGACGGGUGAGGAAUACAUCGGAAUCUACUUUUUCGUGGGGGAUAACGUAGGGAAACUUACGCUAAUACCGCAUACGACCUACGGGUGAAAGCAUGGGAUCUUCGGACCUUGCGCGAUUGAAUGAGCCGAUGUCGGAUUAGCUAGUUGGCGGGGUAAGGGCCCACCAAGGCCACGAUCCGUAGCUGGUCUGAGAGGAUGAUCAGCCACACUAGAACUGAGACACGGUCCAGACUCCUACGGGAGGCAGCAGUGGGGAAUAUUGGACAAUGGGAGCAAGCCUGAUCCAGCCAUACCGCGUGGGUGAAGAAGGCCUUCGGGUUGUAAAGCCCUUUUGUUGGGAAAGAAAAGCAGCAGGUUAAUACCCCGCUGUUCUGACGGUACCCAAAGAAUAAGCACCGGCUAACUUCGUG
rnacentral:rRNA from 1 species